rnacentral:rRNA from 1 species
CCUUGAAAUACCACCCUUUAAUGUUUGAUGUUCUAACGUGGACCCGUGAUCCGGGUUGCGGACAGUGUCUGGUGGGUAGUUUGACUGGGGCGGUCUCCUCCUAAAGAGUAACGGAGGAGCACGAAGGUUGGCUAAUCCUGGUCGGACAUCAGGAGGUUAGUGCAAUGGCAUAAGCCAGCUUGACUGCGAGCGUGACGGCGCGAGCAGGUGCGAAAGCAGGUCAUAGUGAUCCGGUGGUUCUGAAUGGAAGGGCCAUCGCUCAACGGAUAAAAGGUACUCCGGGGAUAACAGGCUGAUACCGCCCAAGAGUUCAUAUCGACGGCGGUGUUUGGCACCUCGAUGUCGGCUCAUCACAUCCUGGGGCUGAAGUAGGUCCCAAGGGUAUGGCUGUUCGCCAUUUAAAGUGGUACGCGAGCUGGGUUUAGAACGUCGUGAGACAGUUCGGUCCCUAUCUGCCGUGGGCGCUGGAGAACUGAGGGGGGCUGCUCCUAGUACGAGAGGACCGGAGUGGACGCAUCACUGGUGUUCGGGUUGUCAUGCCAAUGGCACUGCCCGGUAGCUAAAUGCGGAAGAGAUAAGUGCUGAAAGCAUCUAAGCACGAAACUUGCCCCGAGAUGAGUUCUCCCUGAGACUUUAGGUCUCCUGAAGGAACGUUGAAGACGACGACGUUGAUAGGCCG